rnacentral:rRNA from 1 species
CUACGGGAGGCACCAGUGGGGAAUAUUGCACAAUGGAGGAAACUCUGAUGCAGCAACGCCGCGUGGAGGAUGCCACUUUUCGGAGCGUAAACUCCUUUUAUAUAGGAAGAAGAUGACGGUACUAUAUGAAUAAGCGCCGGCCAACUCCGUGCCAGCAGCCGCGGUAAUACGGAGGGCGCAAGCGUUACUCGGAAUCACUGGGCGUAAAGAGCGUGUAGGCGGAUUAAAAAGUCAGAAGUGAAAUCCUAUAGCUUAACUAUAGAACUGCUUCUGAAACUCUUAAUCUAGAAUAUGGGAGAGGUAGAUGGAAUUUCUGGUGUAGGGGUAAAAUCCGUAGAGAUCAGAAGGAAUACCGAUUGCGAAGGCGAUCUACUAGAACAUUAUUGACGCUGAGACGCGAAAGCGUGGGGAGCAAACAGGAUUAGAUACCCCGGUAGUC